UUCGCUUCUUGGCCUUUUUAGCUAAGAUCAAGUGUAGUAUCUGUUCUUAUCAGUUUAAUAUCUGAUCGUCCCCUAUCUGGGGACCAUAUAUUUCAUGAUUUUUUGGAACAGGGACUUGGAAGAAGAGCUUGCUCUGUCCACUCCAUGAUUUGGCCUGGUAUUGCAGUUCUUCCAGGAGUGGUGCUCCUUUC